ensembl:lncRNA
CAGGGCAGCCCUGCAGGGAAUUCUGGAGCCGACACGGCCGAUCCGUCAUUGAAGCGCAGCUGCUCCUGUCAGGUGCCACUCAGCUUUGUUGUGAUUUUGUGUCUUAUAGGGAGACUUUGAGCUGAUUGUCUGCAUACGUCCACGCCUGCUUUUGAGUUUUAAUGAAGUGUGUUUUAAUGCGUCUUUAAUGCUGCAAUGAUGGUGGAGCUCAACGGAGAUGAGCACUCUGCUAAAUGCAUCCUUCUAGUUUUACUUUGAAAAUAUAGAUGCAUGCACACACACACACACACACGCACACACACAGACACACACACACACACACACACACACACACACACACACACACAUACACACACACACACACACAAGCAGUUCCUUAAAAACACGCCAUGUGGAGACCAUGUUAUCUCAAGUUCAAAGCAGAGCCCGGCUGUUUUUCUUCCUCCUUGAAGAGGUUUACUGAAGCUUAGAAAAUGCUUUAAUGAUAAGACCUGAGUGUGCCAGAUAGUUUGAUAUCAAAGAUUCAAAGACCAGACGUGCUGACCAUUUUCCCCCGCGCAAACCUAAAACAUUUGUACUGUUUAGCCAAAGUAAAGCCACACGACAGGUAAACGUAACGCUAUUGAACCACAAAGCUUUUGCCCACAAGAACAGAUGGAAUUAUUCAAACAAUAUUUACUCUGUAAACAUUCAAGAUUCUGAUGGUGCCAUUAUCUUGCAAGCUUAUGGACCAAAAGUUAGCGCCAUGCCCUGGAAGCAUGCACUCCUCACCGCAAAUCAAAGCCAAAGUCUACCUAAACAUGUCUCUCUGUCUGCGGCCGAUGGUGAGAGAAUUGGCCCCCGCUUCAAUGAGGGACAAAGACACAACAGGAAUAGUUUGCUUCUACUGCAAACCAAGUCUGCCCUCGGGUACAAAUAAAGUAGCCUAAACUGGGAACAUGUCUCUUACACUAAUGUUUGAUCAAUGGCAUGAAGAAAAAAAAGCCCAAACCAUCGCUGCAUGCCAGCUUUGUUAAAACACGUUUGAGAUUGAUGGGUUUGCAGACAUCGCAUUACGACACCACUAGAUGUCUUAUGCCAGUUACAGAUAAUAUCACGUUGGGUUUUUCAUCGUGUGUUUGUGGGUUGAGCAACGCUGACGGACAAGAAAAGCAUUUAUGUAUGUGAUCAGCAGAGCAUUUAGCUUGACACGA